UGAGGGUGCCUGACGGUACUGUAGGAAUAAGCACCGGCUAACUCCGUGCCAGCAGCCGCGGUAAUACGGAGGGUGCGAGCGUUAUCCGGAUUUAUUGGGUUUAAAGGGUCCGUAGGCGGAUUAAUAAGUCAGUGGUGAAAUCCCAUCGCUUAACGAUGGAACUGCCAUUGAUACUGUUAGUCUUGAAUGAGGGUGCAGUGGUUGGAAUGUGUAGUGUAGCGGUGAAAUGCAUAGAUAUUACACAGAACACCGAUUGCGAAGGCAGAUCACUAACCCUAAAUUGACGCUGAGGGACGAAAGCGUGGGGAGCGAACAGGAUUAGAUACCCUGGUAG
rnacentral:rRNA from 1 species